UACGGAGGGUGCAAGCGUUGCUCGGAAUUAUUGGGCGUAAAGGGUAGGUAGGUGGUCUCAUUUGUCAGGGGUGAAAGCCUUGGGCUUAACCCAAGAAGUGCCCCUGAAACGGUGAGACUAGAGUCCUGGAGAGGGUCGUGGAAUUCCCGGUGUAGCGGUGAAAUGCGUAGAGAUCGGGAGGAACACCAGAGGCGAAGGCGGCGACCUGGACAGGCACUGACACUCAACUACGAAAGCGUGGGGAACAAACAGG
rnacentral:rRNA from 1 species